GACGAACGCUGGCGGCGUGCUUAACACAUGCAAGUCGAACGGAAAGGCCCUGCUUUUGUGGGGUGCUCGAGUGGCGAACGGGUGAGUAACACGUGAGUAACCUGCCCUUGACUUUGGGAUAACUUCAGGAAACUGGGGCUAAUACCGGAUAGGAGCUCCUGCUGCAUGGUGGGGGUUGGAAAGUUUCGGCGGUUGGGGAUGGACUCGCGGCUUAUCAGCUUGUUGGUGGGGUAGUGGCUUACCAAGGCUUUGACGGGUAGCCGGCCUGAGAGGGUGACCGGCCACAUUGGGACUGAGAUACGGCCCAGACUCCUACGGGAGGCAGAAGUGGGGAAUAUUGCACAAUGGGCGGAAGCCUGAUGCAGCAACGCCGCGUGCGGGAUGACGGCCUUCGGGUUGUAAACCGCUGUCGCCUGUGACGAAGCGUGAGUGACGGUAAUGGGUAAAGAAGCACCGGCUAACUACGUG
rnacentral:rRNA from 1 species